rfam:Nitrospirae bacterium GWC2_56_14 gwc2_scaffold_11580, whole genome shotgun sequence.
AGUACGAGCUGGGGGAGCCUUAGGGCUGAGAGUCCUUUUCCGGACGACCCUUAGAACCUGAUCCGGGUAGUUCCGGCGUAGGGAAGGCGAGCAGUGUACCAU